UAACACAUGCAAGUCGAACGGCAGCGACAACAUUGAACCUUCGGGGGAUUUGUUGGGCGGCGAGCGGCGGACGGGUGAGUAAUGCCUGGGAAAUUGCCCUGAUGUGGGGGAUAACCAUUGGAAACGAUGGCUAAUACCGCAUGAUAGCUUCGGCUCAAAGAGGGGGACCUUCGGGCCUCUCGCGUCAGGAUAUGCCCAGGUGGGAUUAGCUAGUUGGUGAGGUAAGGGCUCACCAAGGCGACGAUCCCUAGCUGGUCUGAGAGGAUGAUCAGCCACACUGGAACUGAGACACGGUCCAGACUCCUACGGGAGGCAGCAGUGGGGAAUAUUGCACAAUGGGCGCAAGCCUGAUGCAGCCAUGCCGCGUGUAUGAAGAAGGCCUUCGGGUUGUAAAGUACUUUCAGCAGUGAGGAAGGAGGUAUCGUUAAUAGCGGUAUCUUU
rnacentral:rRNA from 1 species